rnacentral:lncRNA from 1 species
CCCCGACCAAGAGGGGUUUUGACCCCGCCGCAUGAAUGGCUAAACGGCCCCCCUUAGCCACCCCGGCCACUGGAGACAAGGAGCAAGGAGGGCGACAAACUGCCACCCUCGCUAGAGGGGCAACAGAAGACCCGCCGUCGCUCCCACCACCGUAGCAGAAGCUGCGGCUUCCCGUGGCCUCACGGAGACACCACGUGCAGCGAUGGCUCUCGCUACCGUCGCCGCUGGGGGGCUACUUCCCUGCUCGAUCUGCUGCAGUGUCCCACCGCCGUCAUCGGCAUGACAGCAGCCAUGGCCGCUGCACCGUUCGCCGAACGGUGUGGGU